rnacentral:lncRNA from 1 species
UUGGGCAAACUUUUAACAACAGGAAUCACAACAACCAAAGAAAUGCCAGGAACAACAUGUUCAUAGAUGUCAUAUUAAACUGGUCUACACAUUCACCUCUGCCUGUUAACACUGUGGUGAAAUGUUUGUUUCAGUGUCAGGUUGGUCCUAAGGGUCAGGAAAUAAUCAGGCACAUCUUGUAUCAUCAUGAAUUGUAUCUCUCUUCCAAUAGACAUACAAGCGAGUUGUACUGGAAAGUUGGCAGCUUAAUCCCUACUCCUGCUGUCAUUACACCAAAGUGUUCUGAGGUAUGUCAAUUGACACUGAAUGGCUUCUGGUAGCUGUGGGAGUAGUGUGUGAUUGGGAUAAAUUAAAACAUGUUUACUGGUUGUAACUGCAUACAAAACAAAAUCGGCACAAACCAAAAGUUCAUCAUAGGAGCUUUAAAUUAAGAAAAAGAUAAACAAUAGUAAACUAUGCAGUGUGUAAGGUCUGCAAGAUCAGCAGAGUGCAUGUUACUGUGUGAACAUAGUGUGGUGAGGGGAUAGAAGUAGGGUGACCAUGCCUUCUCUUUUACCCAGACGUGUCCUCUUUUUGUGGAGCUGUCCAGCCUGUCUGGCUUUGUCUAGGGGAGUUUAUCAAAUCUUCAAAUGUCCGUGGUUUUGUAUGAAAGUUUUGAGUUAGUGUCGCAUGGACCUAAACCAGUGUUGUUUUUGGCAGGCAUUUUAGAUUUAGUUUUAGUCUUAGUCAUUUUGAUGAAAUGCUUCUUCGUUUUAGUCCCAUUUUAGUCAUUUCUAUCCCUGUUAGUUUUAGUCUAGUUUUAGUCCAACGAAAACUCAAAAAGGUUUUAGUCUAGUUUUAGUCAACAAAAACUCAAGGUUUUAGUCAAAAAUCAAAGAUACUUAUACAUAACAUAUGUGUAUGUAUUUAAUAGGCCAAUACAGGUAUUAUAAUGAAGCACACUGAGACAGAUCUAACUUUCAAAAGGUGAGUUGUUUUUCCCCCCCGUCUUUUUUCUUUCUCUAUCUUUUCUUUUAUUUUGUUGCAGAGGCACACAAUAUGAGUAUUGUAUCACAAUAUGAUGAAACAAAAACAAAAAAUAAAGCACACGACUUCACAUGAGGUAGCAGGGGAACGUUUCACAACCACAAGUCAAGUUAUAGAGACAUUAAUAUCCCAACAUGGCCAUGAAUGGCUUUCCAAAUAUGUAAAGAUCAAACAAAAUAAAGCUCUGCAUAUAUAAAACAAAAAUUUUAAGGCAAACUGCUCUGCAUAAGCAAAUAUUUAAGGCAACCAACUCUACAUAGAUAUUUCUGGCAACCAAACAGAAGCAACAUGGAAGCGCUAGAAUAUGUACUAUGAUGCAACUAGUCAAGUAACAACUCGCCACUACCAGGUUCACACUGGCAGCCUGAAUAUGGCCCGAAUCAGAUCUGCGCCAGAUCAGAUCAGAUAUACAAGCUCCACAUGGGUCACAUCAACAUUGGAGCUUGUAGAUCUGACACAGAUCUGAUUCAGGCCAGAUUUAGGCUGCCAGUAUAAACCUGGCCUAGGUAGCCUAGGUAGCCUACCGGUUCAAUUUGAGGAAAGCACUUCUCUCUAAAAUUUCGCUGGCUUUGUUGCAACGGCCACGACUGAGGUCACCUGUAACGCUAAAAACUCUCUCAGCAAAUGCUUGAGAGGCAGGCAUGGCGAGAAGAUCUAAGGCAACAGGUUUCAGGAGUGGAUACACAUAAUCUGACUGUGCAACCCAAAAGUCAAGGGCACUUAGGGAGGACUCUUCUUCAGUUAAGACAUUUCCUGCCUGACACACGGCUUUGGGCGGCUAGAACUAGAUGGUCGGUUUGUUUUUGACAAAUAUUUGAAUCUGGACCGCUUUCUGUCUGGUUCAGGUGCCUCUGCUGCUCCUUCUCCCUUCCCCGAUUCCUCCUCAGCCUCCUCCCCUCGUACUACUGGUGGAACCAACUGAACAAUGUCAUCUUGUGCUUUGCUUUGAAUCUCCUGAAUUUGUUCGUUAUCAUUUGUAAGGAGUGCUCCUGUCGAGAAAGCAGCUGAAUCGCUGGUCUAUGUUUGCCUUCAUCUUUACUGCCAAGGACACUAGGUCCUUGAAGGUACGACCCUGGUCAUGGAGGAAGUCAGACAGGUGAGCUUGUAGGUCAAGAAGGGCAGGAAUGACAAGGGACAGACUCUGUGUGUCGCUCUGGAGCAUCUGUGUAUGCUCAGUGAAGGGGAGGAGCAAUUGUUUGACAGCGGUCAGCUUUUGCCACUCACUUGGCAGGAGAUAGUCCCAGGUCAUGCCAUCAGCAACUUUGACGACAGAGUCCUUUACUUGGAGAAGCCGGGAGAUCAUCAAGUAGGUGCUCGACCAUCUUUGGGGCAGUCUUUGACCAGCGUUAAUUGACACUCCUUCAAUAGCCGCUCAGUUCCUACGGAGGAUUUUCGGAAGAGCUUCACCAGAGAAUGGACCAUAUCUAGAAGUCGUUUAACACUUGUUUCUUUUUUUAUCAUGUUAACCACCAGCUGCAGCAUGUGAACGACACAGGGGGUCCUCGCCAUCGCUCCAUACCUUUAUAGGAAAAGACGAGAACACAACAAAAAAAAAACAAAUAACACUGAGCUGAAUGCGAAGAAAAACAAAAAACAAACAUCUAUUGCGACUGAGUGCUAAACUGAAAUAAUUGACCUCUGUUCGUCUGUAGCCAGCACAGGGUCUUCACUGUCGCUUUCCUGGGAGUCCUCCUCUGUGCUGCUCUCCUCCUCCUGGACAGAUUUGAAUGCAGCUACCAUGUUGCUCCCGUUGUCUGUUAUGGCUGUCAGUAUUUUGUGUUGCGGUUUACCCCACUCUUCUGUGCACCGGUCAACACAGGUUUUUAUGCUCUCUGCCGUGUGUGGGUGAGUGAGCUGGGUCAGAGUUAAUAAUAUGUGACGUGCUUUUUUGUCCUCUUGGCAAUAGUAGCAGGCACUGAUGGCAAGAAAUGAGGCCGUGAGGCCUUUCUUGGACCAUAUGUCCAGGCCAAUGGUGAUCCUUUGUGCUGUGGCAAGCUGCUCUCUGAAUUUUUGUUUUGCAUCAUUGUAUAUGUUAUCAAUUAAAUUGUUCACUUUAGUUCUUUUUGGGAUGGUCAGUGUAUUGUCAAACUUCUUCAUCAUGAGGAUGAAUUCCUCGUCCUCCACAAUGGAAGCAAGACGCCCCGUCCGACCGAUCCAUAAAGCAAUUGCCAUUUCUUUAUUGAGUUGUUCUUGAGAGUUCUCCCCAUAUUUAGUUGCAGCUGCAAACAAUGCUUUUAUGGAGGUCUGCACUCCACUUGGCUUGCUCUUUGGGGUUAUGGUCUCUGGGAUCUAGAUGGGGGGGGCAAAUCGGCAAAAGAAAUACACUUAAUACCAUACAGUAGUAAGUACACACUAGACCUUAAAUGCCUACAGAUAAAGACAGAUAUACAAUAUUAUGUAUAUGUAAUAUGUAUGUAAUUUAAGAUACAGUUUAAAGUGCAGUAUGAAUGAUAUAACUGUGGCAACAGUAUUAUCAUAAAUAUAUUGCACUUUGUUAUUAUAUAUAAAUUAUAUACCUAACAUAUAAAUUAUAUGGCAUACAGUGUCCCUGCAUAUUGGCUUUAGCUGCUAUUAUUAAUUAAAGUUACAGCAUCCACGUGUGUUGCUAACGAUAGGGAAAAGCCCCAUUCAUUCUAGCUUUAGCAUGUAGCGCUAGGAAGCAGUCUCACCUGCACGACGGGAGAGGUGUAACCACCACCACCAUCACCAUCACCACCACCACAAAACUUUAAUCUUAAAAGAAAAUGUAUCACAGGCCAGCCUAGCAUUAACUAAAGCUAGUAUAAUGCUUUAUUGUUGCAGGCAACUUACCUUCUCAUAAAUAGCAGGAUGGCUGGCCUUCAGGUGCCUUUAAGGUUCGUGGUGUUCUUUCCCGACAGUUUGAAGCCGCAGCAUGAGGAAGCUGUGGCUCCACAACUGUCGUCUGUCUCGUCUCCCCAUCCCCGUACAAGACAUUGUGUUUUAUUGUCACUUGGACUGUAUCUGAAGUAGGACUAUAAAUCAUCACUCUUUUUUCAGCCACCGGGCACCGCUGCUGUGCCUGCCGCCAUGGUGUGUGUGUGUGUGCGCGCCUUGUCCACCUGCCGCUCUGUGUAUGUGUAUGAGUGUGUGCGCGCAGCUGUGCGCGAGCGAGGCUUUUGGUGCGUGUGUGAUGGGGGCGUGACUGUAAGGACAAAAAAAAGCAUGUUUUGAAACUUUGUUCGUCCACUUUAUAACAAUUUAGUCUCGUCUCGUUCUCGUCUGACGAAAAUGAAUACAAUUUUCGUCACAUUUUAGUCUUUACAGAGCUUUGGUGACGUUCGUCCUAGUCUCAUUUUCGUCAAGGAAAAAAGGGGUCUGACGUCAUCAUUUAAGUUUUCAUCCUGCCUGACGAAAACAACACUGACCUAAACUGAGUUAGAAGCGUGUAAAAAAUACUCAAUCCAACCCCCCAAAAAAAUCUCAAAAUUAACUACAUGCGACACCCCCGCGUAGUCGUGUCCUCUUUUUGGAGAUUCAGAAUAUGGUCACCCUAAUAGAAGAUUAGUGUGACACAACAUUUAACAAAAGAAAUGGUAGAUUGCUGGUCUGGCAUGGGAGAGAGCUUUAUGGGAGAAGCUGCUUAUAUAGCUGGUGUGGAGGUCCAGGUGCUCCACACUAGAGUGGAUGGGGCCAAUCGAGAGUUCCACUUUUGUACCUCGAAGAAAACAUUUAACUAGUGUAGCCACCAGAUACACAAAUACUCACCUGGUUACACUCCUCAAUCUCAAUUGGCAAGUGGUGGUUGGAAGGUAAAACUUCAAUUUAACAGGCAGAAACCUUGAACAGAACCAGACUCAUGCUGACAAACCAAUCUGCAAACACAAUCUGCAGUGACUGUGUUCGGAAGAGGGACAGACAAAAGAAACAAAAAGGUUUAGGGAUCAAACAGCAGCUCAGACAGACUACAGUGUGAAUGUUAAAGGUAAUGAUGUGUGCCUUUUGCAGGGACCGCAAAUAAUGGAAGUUACAGUCAACAGGUCCAAUAUUAGAAUUCACAGUAAUGAUGAUAAUAGGGCUGUGGGGAUGAUAGUAUCAAUUAAAACAGUGGGAGUCUUGCUGA